rnacentral:rRNA from 1 species
AGAACGAACGCUGGCGGCAUGCCUAACACAUGCAAGUCGGACGCUUUCGGGGGUUUCGGCCUCCGAGGGAGUGGCGGACGGGUGAGUAGCGCGUGGGAACCUGCCCCUUUGUGGGGGAUAACCGAGGGAAACUUCGGCUAAUACCGCAUGCGCCCGGGGGUAACUCCGGGGAAAGAUUUAUCGCAGAGGGAGGGGCCCGCGUCGGAUUAGGUAGUUGGUGGGGUAACGGCCUACCAAGCCGGUGAUCCGUAGCUGGUCUGAGAGGAUGAUCAGCCACACUGGGACUGAGACACGGCCCAGACUCCUACGGGAGGCAGCAGUGGGGAAUAUUGGACAAUGGGCGCAAGCCUGAUCCAGCAAUGCCGCGUGAGUGAUGAAGGCCUUAGGGUUGUAAAGCUCUUUCGGCGGGGACGAUGAUGACGGUACCCGCAGAAGAAGCCCCGGCUAACUUCGUGCCAGCAGCCGC